UACAGAGGGUGCAAGCGUUUAAUCGGAUUUACUGGGCGUAAAGCGCGCGUAGGCGGCUAAUUUAAGUCAAAUGUGAAAUCCCCGAGCUUAACUUGGGAAUUGCAUUCGAUACUGGUUAGCUAGAGUGUGGGAGAGGAUGGUAGAAUUCCAGGUGUAGCGGUGAAAUGCGUAGAGAUCUGGAGGGAAUACCGAUGGCGAAGGCAC
rnacentral:rRNA from 1 species